rnacentral:rRNA from 1 species
AACGAACGCUGGCGGCAGGCUUAACACAUGCAAGUCGAACGGGUGUAGCAAUACAUCAGUGGCAGACGGGUGAGUAACACGUGGGAACCUUCCUAGGGGUACGGAACAACUCGGGGAAACUUGAGCUAAUACCGUAUACGUCCGUGAGGAGAAAGAUUUAUCGACCUUAGACGGGCCCGCGUCGGAUUAGCUAGUUGGUGGGGUAACGGCCUACCAAGGCGACGAUCCGUAGCUGAUCUUAGAGGAUGAGCAGCCACACUGGGACUGAGACACGGCCCAGACUCCUACGGGAGGCAGCAGUGGGGAAUCUUGGACAAUGGGCGCAAGCCUGUUCCAGCCAUGCCGCGUGAGUGAAGAAGGCCUUAGGGUUGUAAAGCUCUUUUGCCAGGGACGAUAAUGACGGUACCUGGAGAAUAAUCCCCGGCAAACUUCGUGCCAGCCGCCGCCGUAACAC